rnacentral:lncRNA from 1 species
CAGCAAUGCUGCAUUCAGUACUGUCUUUCAACCUAUCUGAUUACUGCCUUCUUAAUUAUAUUUCCGUAUAGAAAUGAAUGAUUUUUUUCAUGAUUGGAGUCUAAGCUACGUCAAAGGGUGUUGAACCUCACCCAGAGAAGAAUCAGGCAUAAUCAGGUAGAGCAAAUAUUACGCAAUCUGCCUAUGAGAAAUACACGCCUCAUGUACAGUUCAAGCUUCUAGGGAUCCUGCUGGGACACGAAGUUGGAAAGGAAGGCUGGAAGCAAACCUCCAUGAGUUCAGGAGCUUCAAGGAGAGGAACUCUACCAACAACCACAGGAACCUGGA